rnacentral:rRNA from 1 species
UACGGAGGGGGCUAGCGUUGUUCGGAAUUACUGGGCGUAAAGCGCACGUAGGCGGCUUUGUAAGUUAGAGGUGAAAGCCCGGGGCUCAACUCCGGAAUUGCCUUUAAAACUACAUCGCUAGAAUUGUGGAGAGGUAAGUGGAAUUCCGAGUGUAGAGGUGAAAUUCGUAGAUAUUCGGAAGAACACCAGUGGCGAAGGCGACUUACUGGACACAUAUUGACGCUGAGGUGCGAAAGCGUGGGGAGCAAACAGG